GUAAGAUAUUUUUCAAUUUCAAAACAUGGGACCAGCGAGGGUUAUCGAUUACCUUUUAGUAACUCGAGAGCCCCUGGUGGUGGGAUUUAGAACCACCAAUUUAAACCUAUCCUGCAGCAAACUUACUGGGAGGAUCUCAUCACUAAAACUAAUGACGAUUAGCCUCAUCAGUUCAUACGAGAACUGAAAUGUUGUUUUUGCCAAAAAAAUACAAUAGAUGACUAUUGAAAAGAGGGCGUCGCGUAGGUCUAGCAUUGUUAAGUCAUCCGAUGAUCUAGCAUUCUCAAAUCGAUCGGUGAGCAAGUUAGAUGUGACCAAACAGUUAAUAGAAAAAAGUGUAAUCUACUCCAUAGUGAUUGAAGAUCGAACGAAAGUUUGUGUAAGCAUAUAGUGUAAACCUGAAAACAGAAAUCAAUUGAACAUACAUUAUUAUUACAGUUUUUGAGAGCAUAACGUGGAAUUUUUAAAAAUCUGAAGUAGGCCCUGUUGCGAAAAGUUUUCAGUAAGACGUUGUGAGUAACCUAGAACAAUAUGUGAAGGAGUAGAAAAUUAUUGAAUUCGUUCUUAUUUUUCAACAAUUCUCGCAGAUAGAAAAACCUUUGAAAUAAGCGUAAAAACUGAAAAACUGUAGUAUCGAAUACUCCCACGAGGCACAGGACACUGCUAUCCUUCAAGCGAAGGUGCUAGUGUAGGGUGUAGGGGAUAGCGACCAGCCACGCUGUCUCUAGGGACGAGUCAGAAGCUCGGCGACUUGUAGGCUCGCCUCGUCGUCCGCGCCAGUAUUCGACCCUCGCGCACCCUGGGCCGAAGGAAUCCACGCCUUCCGGAGGAAUUCGGACGCUACUAACCGAAUAUCGCUCCAUCGGUCUCGAAGGGAGAUUCACACCACGUGAGCGCAUUGGCACCGCCCAUCACCACCCC